CCCCUCCUACGGGGGGCAGCAGUGGGGAAUAUUGCACAAUGGGGGAAACCCUGAUGCAGCGACGCCGCGUGAGUGAAGAAGUAUUUCGGUAUGUAAAGCUCUAUCAGCAGGGAAGAAGAAGGACGGUACCUGAGUAAGAAGCCCCGGCUAACUACGUGCCAGCAGCCGCGGUAAUACGUAGGGGGCAAGCGUUAUCCGGAUUUACUGGGUGUAAAGGGAGCGUAGACGGCUGUGCAAGUCUGAAGUGAAAGCCCAGGGCUCA
rnacentral:rRNA from 1 species